rnacentral:lncRNA from 1 species
CAGAACAUGAAGAGUUAAAGCCAUUUGUUUUCACACCUCAUCUCAUUGUCAUCACACCUCACUUUGAAGAAAUAACACCAGUGAGCAAAUUUCCUGUGAUUUUUCUCUUCUGUCAACAACUCUUGACUUACAGAUGUACCUUGCUUUAUUGAUGAAAAUGAAAAGCUAUAUCCUUUGAUGUCAGACAAACUCAUGUGUGCUUUAUCUUGGGCAGCUGAUGAAGCAUUUUCUAGUAGGACCUAUUUAUUCUUCCUGCUUUUUUGCAGCACUAUGAAAGCCAAUUAGAGAAGGAGCUAUCAAUGACAGAGGUGGAUUCUGUUACUGCAUAAGGAAUGAGUUCUGCCAACUUUAUGAGAAAGCACUGUGGAGCAGUGGGCACAACAUCCUCCUGGUACAGUUCAUGGGAUUGCCUGGUACUUGCUCCUUCUGUGACGACUAUCUCAAUGAACAUUGUGAGCCCUACUGCUGAGCUAUCACAGUUUAUCAUGCGAAAAGUACUUCUGAGGCAAAAGAGAGCCAGAGUCAGCAAAGGCAAUAGCACUCACUAAUGAGGUACUGACAUUGCACCAUUUAAGAGUUUCUGGCUUUGGAAAAAUUUGAGGAUCCUUAAAGUGUUCAACUACAAUUAGAAAUUUCCAAAGAAAUCUGACGUUCUGUGAAAUAUUUUUGUUGAUGAAAAUAAUUCUUGGUUAGUGCUCUUUGACAAGCCAACUGGUAUAAGCUUCUGUCUUUUUCCUUCAUUUGAAAAAAAUAUACUCAUCUUUCAGUUGGCCAUUAUAAGAAUUGGAUACUUUGAGGGAACAUCUAUCACAUCCAUAGAAGAAUUGUCCUAAUAAUUAGUUAUUCACAAUGUUUUAUUUUUCCAUGUGCAUCCAGUUUAAAAUUAUCAAGAUUUAACUUCCUGGAAUUGUUUCUUAUGUCCAUACUGCUAGUUUAGGACCCA